rnacentral:rRNA from 1 species
CCUGGCGGUGCGCCUUAUGCAUGCAAGUUGAGCGAAGCUUUUCAGUAGUUUACUACAGAAAAUGACUGAGCGGCGAACGGGUGAGUAACGCGUGAGCAAUCUACCUUAGUUACUGGGAUAGCCCGAGGAAACUCGGAUUAAUACCGGAUAAUCUUAUUACAUCACAUGAUAUUUUAAGUAAAGGUCAGCCGAACUAAGAUGAGCUCGCGUUCUAUCAGCUAGUUGGUGGGGUAAAAGCCUACCAAGGCUACGACGGAUA